rnacentral:sRNA from 1 species
AGCGAAGCAAGCUGUGCGACAAAAAAAUGUCGUAUGCAGCUAAGGUGCUAGCGGAGCUCCACCAGGCGUGGGGGUGCUCCCGUUAUCCGGGGUAAGGCUCAGAUAGGUAACAUCCAGGUCACACCGACAGGAACACCGAUCUGCAAGUCUGAUGAAACUCUUAGACGGUGGUCUGUCUUUGCAUGUAACUCAUGGACCUUUUGUCCAAUGAUUGAAAUUCUCCGCCUUCUUCUACCCCGCAGAGGUUCUGGAAAACAACCCCCACAUCCCCUGAUGUGGGAAAUCCAGGCAAAAGGUACCUGGACUUGAAACAAGCUGAAAGAUAAUUGUGGUCUUGGGGGCUCGUGGGGGUUAUACGGGCAAUGGAAUUCAACAGGAAAUUUUAGCUCACCACAUAUGUUCAAAAUGACGAUGUUCAUGAUGAGAACUUACAUGUCAACAAAGUUGGGGUCGAGACGGAUUCCUAUGGGGAUUUACCACUGCAUCAAAGGGGCCAAUAUUUCAAGUAAGGUAGCCAUUUUAAGAUAUGGUAUAUAAGAGACUGGUAUAUAAGUUUUUCAUCCAUCUGACAGUGACUC